UGAGGAAUAUUGGUCAAUGGGCGAGAGCCUGAACCAGCCAAGUCGCGUGAAGGAAGACUGCCUUAUGGGUUGUAAACUUCUUUUAUACAGGAAUAAAAAGGCUUACGUGUAGGCCAUUGCAAGUACUGUAUGAAUAAGCAUCGGCUAACUCCGUGCCAGCAGCCGCGGUAAUACGGAGGAUGCGAGCGUUAUCCGGAUUUAUUGGGUUUAAAGGGUGCGCAGGCGGGCUUUUAAGUCAGCGGUGAAAUCUGGACGCUUAACGUCCAAACUGCCGUUGAAACUGGGAGUCUUGAGUAUGGAUGAAGUAGGCGGAAUUCGUUGUGUAGCGGUGACAUGCAUAGAUAUAACGAGGAACUCCGAUUGCGUAGGCAGCUUACUAAGCCAUAACUGACGCUCAUGCACGAAAGCGUGGGGAUCAAACAGGAUUAGAUACCCUGGUAGUCCACGCCGUAAACGAUGAUUACUAGUUGUAUGCGAUAUGAUAGUAUGUGACUAAGCGAAAGCGAUAAGUAAUCCACCUGGGGAGUACGCCGGCAACGGUGAAACUCAAAUGAAUUGACGGGGUCAUAGCUGUUUCCUG
rnacentral:rRNA from 1 species